rnacentral:rRNA from 1 species
AUAGCGGUGAGGAACCACCUCUUCCCAUUCCGAACAGAGAAGUUAAGCUCACCAUCGCCGAUGGUACUGCCCCACCAGGUGGGAGAGUAGGUAGCUGCGG